rnacentral:rRNA from 1 species
UACGGAGGGUGCAAGCGUUAAUCGGAAUUACUGGGCGUAAAGCGCACGUAGGCGGCUUGUUAAGUCAGGGGUGAAAUCCUGGAGCUCAACUCCAGAACUGCCUUUGAUACUGGCGAGCUUGAGUUCGGGAGAGGUGAGUGGAACUGCGAGUGUAGAGGUGAAAUUCGUAGAUAUUCGCAAGAACACCAGUGGCGAAGGCGGCUCACUGGCCCGAUACUGACGCUGAGGUGCGAAAGCGUGGGGAGCAAACAGG